ACCAGUUUUGGAGAAGAGAGUCCUAAAAAUGAUACUUAGGAGAAGCUGCAUUUCAGCCGAAAGCUGAUUUGCGAACACCUCCUCUAUGGGGGACAGAGGUGGAUUCCCUAAGAUGGCCGUAAGGGCCUCUGUCCUAUCUGAGGGGUGUGUGGGAACGAUCCCCUCACUGGAGAGAUGGAGGACUCGAGCAAUGAAGUACUCGGAAA
rnacentral:lncRNA from 1 species